GACUCUUUUACUGGCAGUCACCUGGCAUCCUGUGAAAUAUUACUGCUUUCGUCUUCAAAGAGCACUAGCUUCAGAAGAGGCCGCACAGUGAUUGUGGUGGAUCAAGAGAAAAAGAACAACUCUCUACAGUCAGAUGGUGCUCACACCUGAGGUUCAAAGAAGACUCAGGAUUCCUUGAAGGAGGAGCUCAAAAUCA